UCCAGCUUAUCGCUGGCGGUCUCCUGCGAGUGCCCAACUAAAUGAUGGCAACACAGGACAAGGGUUGCGCUCGUUGCGGGACUUAACCCAACAUCUCACGACACGAGCUGACGACAGCCAUGCAGCACCUGUGCUGGCGCUCCGAAGAGGGGCCGAUGUUUCCACCGGCUUACACCAGCAUGUCAAACCCAGGUAAGGUUCUUCGCGUUGCCUCGAAUUAAACCACACGCUCCGCUGCUUGUGCGGGCCCCCGCCUAUUCCUUUGAGUUUUAACCUUGCGGCCGGAGUCCCCAGGCGGUGAACUUCACGCGUUAGCUUCGUUACCAAGGAAUUGCUUCCCCGACAACCAGUUGACAUAGUUUAGGGCGUGGACUAC
rnacentral:misc_RNA from 1 species